rnacentral:rRNA from 1 species
GUAGGAUUCGAACGUUAUCCGGAUUUACUGGGCGUAAAGCGCGUGUAGGCGGGUUUAGUAAGUUGGGAUGUGAAAGCUCCAGGCUCAACCUGGAGAGGUCGUUCAAAACUGCUAAACUAGAGGACGAUAGAGGAAGGUGGAAUUCCGGGUGUAGUGGUGAAAUGCGUAGAUAUCCGGAGGAACACCAGUGGCGAAGGCGGCCUUCUGGGUCGUUCCUGACGCUCAGACGCGAAAGCUAGGGUAGCGAACGGGAUUAGAAACCCCGGUAGUCCUAGCCGUAAACGAUGUAGACUUGGUGUUGGUGGUGUAAAAGCUAUCAGUGCCGCAGCUAACGCGAUAAGUCUACCGCCUGGGGACUACGACCGCAAGGUUA